rnacentral:rRNA from 1 species
CCUUAGAGUUUGAUCCUGGCUCAGGACGAACGCUGGCGGCGCGCCUAACACAUGCAAGUCGAACGAGCGAGAGAGAGCUUGCUUUCUCGAGCGAGUGGCGAACGGGUGAGUAACGCGUGAGGAACCUGCCUCAAAGAGGGGGACAACAGUUGGAAACGACUGCUAAUACCGCAUAAGCCCACAGUGCCGCAUGGCACAGAGGGAAAAGGAGCAAUCCGCUUUGAGAUGGCCUCGCGUCCGAUUAGCUAGUUGGUGAGGUAAUGGCCCACCAAGGCGACGAUCGGUAGCCGGACUGAGAGGUUGAACGGCCACAUUGGGACUGAGACACGGCCCAGACUCCUACGGGAGGCAGCAGUGGGGAAUAUUGCACAAUGGGGGAAACCCUGAUGCAGCGACGCCGCGUGGAGGAAGAAGGUCUUCGGAUUGUAAACUCCUGUUGUUGAGGAAGAUAAUGACGGUACUCAACAAGGAAGUGACGGCUAACUACGUGCCAGCAGCCGCGGUAAAACGUAGGUCACAAGCGUUGUCCGGAAUUACUGGGUGUAAAGGGAGCGCAGGCGGGAAGACAAGUUGGAAGUGAAAUCCAUGGGCUCAACCCAUGAACUGCUUUCAAAACUGUUUUUCUUGAGUAGUGCAGAGGUAGGCGGAAUUCCCGGUGUAGCGGUGGAAUGCGUAGAUAUCGGGAGGAACACCAGUGGCGAAGGCGGCCUACUGGGCACCAACUGACGCUGAGGCUCGAAAGUGUGGGUAGCAAACAGGAUUAGAUACCCUGGUAGUCCACACCGUAAACGAUGAUUACUAGGUGUUGGAGGAUUGACCCCUUCAGUGCCGCAGUUAACACAAUAAGUAAUCCACCUGGGGAGUACGACCGCAAGGUUGAAACU